UACGUAGGGUGCAAGCGUUGUCCGGAAUUAUUGGGCGUAAAGAGCUCGUAGGCGGUCUGUCGCGUCGGCUGUGAAAUCCCGAGGCUCAACCUCGGGUCUGCAGUCGAUACGGGCAAACUGGAGUGUUGGAGGGGAGACUGGAAUUCCUGGUGUAGCGGUGAAAUGCGCAGAUAUCAGGAGGAACACCGGUGGCGAAGGCGGGUCUCUGGGCAACAACUGACGCUGAGGAGCGAAAGCGUGGGGAGCGAACAGG
rnacentral:rRNA from 1 species